GAUCAUGGCUCAGGAUGAACGCUAGCUACAGGCUUAACACAUGCAAGUCGAGGGGAAACGGGCAUCGAAAGCUUGCUUUUGAUGGGCGUCGACCGGCGCACGGGUGAGUAACGCGUAUCCAACCUGCCUACCACUUGGGGGAUAACCUUGCGAAAAGGUAAGACUAAUACCCAAUGACAUCCCACGAAGACAUCUGAAUGGGAUUAAAGAUUUAUCGGUGAUGGAUGGGGAUGCGUCUGAUUAG
rnacentral:rRNA from 1 species